AUGCUGCUACUGCUGACGUCCAUGGAGACGCUGCUGCUGCUGACGUCCAUGGAGAUGCUGCUGCUGUGGAUCGAGAAAGCAAAGAAAUUAGGGGGAGGAUGUGAGAGAGAAGGAAGGAGAAGAGAGGUCAGGGAGAGCCCCGGUGUUCUACCCCUACUGGGGCAUCUUUUCUCCAGGGAGAAAGGAGGGGACCAGCGGCAUAGGGAGGAGAGGAGGCCGUCGAGGCGAGCGGGGAGGGGGCGGCGGCAUGGGAGAGGAUGGAGCAGGGAGGACAUGAGGCGAAGGGGGAGCGGGGCUCGGGAGCACAUGCCGGCAGCCGGCAGGUCGAAUUGUCGCGCCACUGCGUCAUCGCCUCCUCUGCUCCAUGAGGCGCCACCUCUGCCUCCACCCUCCACUAGGCAAGGAGCUCAAGGUGAACAGGCGGUGGGAAGGUCAGAGGAAGCAGGAGUUCAUCUCUCCUCCAAUGGCUGCCUCAUGCAUCUGGAGUAUAAGGAGGACAACAUGUGCCUGUUGGAGGCGACUCGAGCAACACAGGCCAGCGGCGAACUAGAUCUGACAUAG
rnacentral:rRNA from 1 species